rnacentral:rRNA from 1 species
UACCAGCACCCCGAGUUGUCGGGACGAUUAUUGGGCCUAAAGCAUCCGUAGCCUGUUCUGCAAGUCCUCCGUUAAAUCCACCUGCUUAACAGAUGGGCUGCGGAGGAUACUAUGGAGCUAGGAGGCGGGAGAGGCAAGCGGUACUUAGUGGGUAGGGGUAAAAUCCGUUGAUCCAUUGAAGACCACCAGUGGCGAAGGCGGCUUGCCAGAACGCACUCGACGGUGAGGGAUGAAAGCUGGGGGAGCAAACCGGG